rnacentral:rRNA from 1 species
AUCAACGCUGGCGGCGCGCCUAACACAUGCAAGUCGAACGAGAAAGUGGAGCAAUCCAUGAGUACAGUGGCGUACGGGUGAGUAACACGUGGGUAAUCUACCUCUUAGUGGGGAAUAACCGAGGGAAACCUUGGCUAAUACCGCAUAAGCCUGAGAAGGGAAAGCAGCAAUGCGCUGAGAGAGGAGCCCGCGGCUGAUUAGCUAGUUGGUAGGGUAAAAGCCUACCAAGGCAGAGAUCGGUAGCCGGCCUGAGAGGGCACACGGCCACACUGGCACUGAAACACGGGCCAGACUCCUACGGGAGGCAGCAGUGGGGAAUCUUGCACAAUGGGGGAAACCCUGAUGCAGCGACGCCGCGUGAGCGAUGAAGCCCUUCGGGGUGUAAAGCUCUUUCGUCAGGGAAGAUUAUGACGGUACCUGGAGAAGCAGCUGCGGCUAACUACGUGCCAGCAGCCGCGGUAAUACGUAGGCAGCAAGCGUUGUUCGGAGUUACUGGGCGUAAAAGGUGUGUAGGCGGUUCUUUAAGUUUGGUGCGAAAUCUCCCGGCUCAACUGGGAGGGUGCGCCGAAUACUGAGGGACUAGAGUACGGGAGAGGAAAGUGGAAUUCCUGGUGUAGCGGUGAAAUGCGUAGAUAUCAGGAGGAACACCGGUGGUGUAGACGGCUUUCUGGACCGACACUGACGCUGAGACACGAAAGCGUGGGUAGCAAACAGGAUUAGAUACCCUGGUAGUCCACGCCCUAAACGAUGCAUAUUUGGUGUGGGCAGUUCAUUCUGUCCGUGCCGGAGCUAACGCGUUAAAUAUGCCGCCUGGGGAGUACAGUCGCAAGGCUGAAACUCAAAGGAAUUGACGGGGGCCCGCACAAGCGGUGGAGCAUGUGGUUCAAUUCGACGCAACGCGAAGAACCUUACCUGGGCUCGAACGGCUUCUCAACGCCGGUAGAAAUACUGGUACCCCGCAAGGGGGUGGAGUCGAGGUGCUGCAUGGCUGUCGUCAGCUCGUGUCGUGAGAUGUUGGGUUAAGUCCCGCAACGAGCGCAACCCCUCGUCCUGUCAGUUGCCAUCAUUAAGUUGGGCACUCUGAGGAGACUGCCAGGUGUCAAGCUGGAGGAAGGUGGGGAUGACGUCAAGUCCUCAUGGCCUUUAUGUCAUGGGCUACACACGUGCUACAAUGGUACGGUACAAACGGCAGCAAACCGCGAGGCUUGAGCCAAUCCGGAAAAACCGAUCUCAGUUCGGAUCGAAGGCUGCAACUCGACUGCAUGAAGUCGGAAUCGCUAGUAAUCGGCAGAUCAGAACGCCUGCGUGAAUACGUUCCCGGGCCUUGUACACACCGCCCGUCACAUCCAUGGAAGUCGGACUGCUCCUAGAAGUCGUGCAGGCCGACCCGCAAGGAGGGCAGCCGGCCCAAGGUAGUGAUUGCAUGACUGGGGUG